UUUUACUCGAGUUUUACUGUUUUUAUGAGGCGCUGUUGAUAUGUUGAUUGACAGGGAGCUGGACCAAUCAGUCAGCAGUGGGCGGGACGCACCGAGUAAAGACGUCUGUGGGUCCCAGAUCAAACAAAUUAUUAAGAAGUCAAUUGUAAACUGUAGUUUUUCAACAUAAAAGUGGCUCGUAUUGAUUCUCUUUCUGACACUAAAGACGGAAAAUGAAAUAACUGAAGUCACAGUUGUUUGUAACUACUUUAAAACCCGGAAGUAGAGCCGUUUUCCAUUUUAUUUUAUCCACAGAGCAGAACUUUGUGAGGCUCUCUUGCUUCUUCCUUUAAUGAAAUGAGUCAAACAUGAGAAAUCCAGAUUUGAUCCAGGCAAAGUGCAGAACAGGGUUCAGGUGAACACGGUCUAUCCUGCACACCUGCGGUUUCCCAUGGACAGGAAGGUCGCUGUUUGGGAUGCGAUAAUUGAAGGACUCAAACUUCACCCAGUGAGUCACAGAGAGAAGAGGCGGACAUGAAGAUUUCCAGAAGGUCAGUGUGAGGAAACUGUUUCCAGUCGGACUCUUUAAAACCUGUUGUCUGGAUCAAACAUCACUAAGUUAAAGCUGCAGAUCAGGACUGUAACUUACUAAACUUAAGUUUUAAUUAUUAUUAAUCAGUUUCUACAAAGCAGCUGCAAAAAUAUAAAAUCUUUAAAUCUAAAGCUUUUUUCCAAUGGGUUUGUAUAAAAUGGAUUUAGGACACAAUGUAAGAUUUAAUCUACAUUUACCAUGUUGUUCAUAUCAAGUUAAUGUAAAAUCUCCAAAGCUUCUAUUAACAGUGAUGUAAUAGAAAAACAACUGGUCUCUUUACUCAAUGAUAAAAGUAUUUUUGCUUCAUGUGAUUAUUAGCUUGAUAUCAAAUUGCAGUUGUUGGUUUUUGAAAUUAUACUUGAUGUGAAAAACUGAGGAGUUAAACUGUUCCUCAUGGAAAAGUUCAGUGUGUUUAAAGUGAGAGUUAAACAUGCAGCUCAAGAGUUUAAUGGUUUGUGAUAAUUACCUCAGCUGCUGUUUGACACUUUAAACUUACUAUCUGGAUCAAACAUCACUGAGUUAAAGCUGCUGUAACUUAUCAGUCUGAAUUACUGUUAAUUAGGAUUUUUCCACUAUGUAGCUGCAAAACAUAGGAAGUCUAAAAUUAAAAAAAAAAGUAUAGAUAUAAAAAAUGUUAGCGUAAAAAAAGUGUAAAACCUUUAAAAUAAAGAUAGAUUAUAUCCAUGGUUCCGUGUAGGAUUUAAUCUUCAAUAUUUCCUGUAACAGUCAUAUAGAAAAACAACUGGUAAAUAUUUUUAAUAAUUGUUUAAUUCAGCAGCUGUAAGUAGAGAAUCUUUGGUAUUUUCCUUUAACAGAGUCCUGCAGUAAAAAAAAGAAAGCUAAUGUUAGGCUAUAAACCAACUCCACCACGGUCACAUGACGUCAACGUCUCCACCACUAAGCUUCCAACUGGUCAUUUCAUUUAGCUCUGAGCUCUUCUACAAAAGCCUUUCUUCUUAGAAAGUUAGUGAGAGUUUGAAAGAGCGUGAGUAGAAAUUCUCUGUAAAUGAGAUGAUAAAGGACAAAAUACAAUCAAGACACAAUUUUUUGUACAAAAGUGUUUAUUUGUUGCACAUGUUUCUGAUUAGAAAUGUGUCUGUGUGAAUGUGUUGUAGAAAUUUACAGAGAAAUAUGAAGGAACAGUGCAGAAAAAGAAAUCAAAUCCUUCAUUGAUUGACCUGCUGAAAUCCAGUGAUAGUGCAGCAGAGAGUGGGACACCUGACUUUACCUUUAUAAUUAAUUGACAUGUUUUUUAAUGUUAAAAAUAUAUGGAGCCCUGAACACUGAUAACAAGAGGUCAGAGGUCAAAAAUAUAAUC